UACGAAGGGGCUAGCGUUGCUCGGAAUCACUGGGCGUAAAGGGUGCGUAGGCGGGUCUUUAAGUCAGGGGUGAAAUCCUGGAGCUCAACUCCAGAACUGCCUUGAUACUGAAGAUCUUGAGUUCGGGAGAGGUGAGUGGAACUGCGAGUGUAGAGGUGAAAUUCGUAGAUAUUCGCAAGAACACCAGUGGCGAAGGCGGACUCACUGGCCCGGUACUCGACGCUGAGGUGCGAAAGCGU
rnacentral:rRNA from 1 species